AGGAUGAUCAGCCACACUGGGACUGAGACACGGCCCAGACUCCUACGGGAGGCAGCAGUGGGGAAUAUUGGACAAUGGGCGAAAGCCUGAUCCAGCAAUGCCGCGUGAGUGAAGAAGGUCUUCGGAUUGUAAAGCUCUUUCGACGGGGACGAUGAUGACGGUACCCGUAGAAGAAGCCCCGGCUAACUUCGUGCCAGCAGCCGCGGUAAUACGAAGGGGGGCUAGCGUUGCUCGGAAUGACUGGGCGUAAAGGGCGCGUAGGCGGUUUGGACCGUCAGAUGUGAAAUUCCCGGGGCUCAACCUGGGGGCUGCAUUUGAUACGUCCAGACUAGAGUGAGGAAGAGGGUUGUGGAAUUCCCAGUGUAGAGGUGAAAUUCGUAGAUAUUGGGAAGAACACCGGUGGCGAAGGCGGCAACCUGGUCCUUGACUGACGCUGAGGCGCGAAAGCGUGGG
rnacentral:rRNA from 1 species